rnacentral:rRNA from 1 species
AACGAACGCUGGCGGCAUGCCUAACACAUGCAAGUCGAACGAGACCUCCGGGUCUAGUGGCGCACGGGUGCGUAACGCGUGGGAACCUGCCCUUAGGUUCGGAAUAACUCCCCGACAGGGGUGCUAAUACCGGAUAAUGUCUUCGGACCAAAGAUUUAUCGCCCUUGGAUGGGCCCGCGUUGAAUUAGCUAGUUGGUAGGGUAAAAGCCUACCAAGGCGACGAUCCAUAGCUGGUUUGGGAGAAUGAUCAGCCACACUGGGACUGAGACACGGCCCAGACUCCUACGGGAUGCAGCAGUGGGGAAUAUUGGACAAUGGGCGAAAGCCUGAUCCAGCAAUGCCGCGUGAGUGAUGAAGGUCUUAGGGUUGUAAAGCUCUUUUACCCGGGAUGAUAAUGACGGUACCGGGAGAAUAAGCUCCGGCUAACUCCGUG